GACCCCCGCCCUGUUGGUCCCCGCCGACUCCCGCGCGACCACCUCGAGGGCACCUAGCCUGUCCCGUGCGGGGCCUCGGCCAUAGCUAGGCCCGUCUCACGCCCUCCGCGCGCAGUGCCAGGCUUGUCUUGGAGUUGCUCAUGGAAAGUGGAUAUGGAGAACUGGACAGAAAUAAUUUCUCCUUGCACUUUAUGAAUCAAUUUUAUUUUUAAAAUAAAAAAAUGUAAAUGUA